AUAUAGGUGGCGGUCUUAUUUGUUUACAAAUGAACCAUCAUAAAAUAUAUCCUAAAGUUAGGACCAUAUCCUAAGACCAUCUUAGGAAUAGGUGUCCUAAAGCUAUGACGAUUCCUAUGCCUUUUCCUAAUUUGCGACAUGUUUGAUAACCGACUUAGGACUAAAAUAGGCCUAAGAUGAUCUUAGGACAUGUCCUAGUCCUAUAAGCGAUUCGAUAAACAGGCCUCUGGUCUUUAAAAUAGAAAAAGAUAUUUAGCUUUAAUCGAUCACAACUUGCAAUAGAUGUCUUCCUAAUAAUCACUGACCCCUUACUGUGGUAUAUUAAACUUAUGUUUUAUCGAAAAAUUAAUCAUUUAAUUUGUAACUACCUGCUUAAAUCCUAAAUUUAAGGGCGGCGGAAUCAUAAUGCCACCUUUUUGGUCCCAUGGAUUUGGGAGUCAUAAAUUAUUAUAAAUCUAUCGAAUUACAUCUUCCAUAUGUCCAAAAGACAUUAGUCUGUCAGGAUCCAGUAAUAAUGUAUUUGAUGUAUGUCAUAUAUAUUUGAUUUAGGACUUUUCAUUUUUGCAUAGAGGGAAAAACAAGUUUUUUUUAAUAGCCGCAUUUUCAAUUCUUUCAAUAAAUAUUUUGAUAUAAGGAACAGCCUUACCCCAAAAAGAUCUUUGCCACUAAAUAUCACUUGCAAAGAUAUUUAUGGUAGUCUAACAUAUAUAUUUUGUAAAGCUGUUGUUCAUAUCAAAUUUUACCAAACCUUUAUGCAUGAGUACAUGAUGAUUUUGGGGCCAAUUAUGGCAUGUUCAUAGAUCAUUCUGAAAUAAAUUCAUUUCAGGUUUAUUUUCUGUAUUAUAUUGACCAACAUGUAUCAAUAAAAUUAACACAGAUAACGGGAGAUUUUUUUUUUUUUGUUUUUUUUUUUUUGUGUUUUGUAGUUUCAUUAGUUAAAUGCUGACUCUUAUCAUACCUUCAAAGUUUACCUUAUAUAAACAGCAUUGUCAAGCUAGCGAUAACAAUUCCAACCACUAAAGUAAGUUGAAAUUCUAAAAAAAUGAUUUAGCUUUUUCGAAUUUCAUAACAUAUUUCAAGGUAAUGAUACAGCAAAAAGUAACUGAACAUUGGCAGAUAAUUAAGACAAUAUCACUUCUUAUUUGUUUAAAUAUUCAAAAGUAUCUUAACAUUUAUUAAAACUUUAUUCCAGUUUGAAAGAAAAAAACAGCAUUUGACGGGCCAUCAGUAUAUAUGUGAAGCAAGUGUGGUCUUUCAAAAGUAAAAUCAAUGUAUUUUGCGAUAUCAAAUUUAUUGUUUAUUUCAUUUUAUUUCGUUUACUUUAAAUUUGUUAUAAUUCUAUUUCAUUUUUAAUUUUGCAUCAUUUUAAUUUCAUUUUUAAAUUUAAUUUAUUCAGUUAUUGUUUAUACCUUUUUGUAAAUUUUUUCGGGACUAUGUUUUCACAAAUUAGUUGGCAUCAAAUACACAACAACGAAAAAGGGAAAAAAUGGAGACAAAGGAAAAAAAACAGACAAAAGACGGAUAUAUGAAGAUUUAAAAAAAGAUUUACGAAAUGACGAUUAAAAUUCGAAUCAUUCCAUUUUCAAAUACAAGUAUUGAAGACAUUGUUUUAAUUGGAGAACCACUGAUUCAAUGUAAAGAAAACUAGGAGAAAAAGAUGCCAAGUAGAAAAAUAAUACGGAUUUAAAAUCAGGGGUUGACAUUGUGAAAACUUACAAAAGUUCAGAUAGCACUAAACUGGAUAAAAGAAAUUUGUUUUAUAAACAGAGAUACCGCGGCUCGUCUAUUGUGUUGUGGCAGAAAUCAGGAAGAGAAUGACAAGGAGAAAAUUCGUCUCAUUGGUUGUGGCAGGAAAUAGGAACAGAAUGGCAAGGAGAAAAUUCAUCUGAUGGAUUGUGGCAGAAAUCAGAGCAGAAUGAUAAGGAGAAUAUGCAUCUAACGGGAUUGACAAGGAGAAUAUUCAUUUAAUGAGUUGUUGCAGAAAAUUGGAACAUAAUGGCAAAGAGAAAAAUUAUCUAAUGGUUUGCAGCAGAAAAUCAGAACAGAAUAGCAAGGAGAAAAAUCAUCAAAUGGAUUGUGGCAGAAAUCGAACAGAAUGGCAAGGAGGACAUUUGAGCAAAUUGUCAGGUUAUUUUAGUGGGAAAAUCGGACGUUUUAGCGAAAAGUGGAAUAAUCAAUGUCCAUUUUACCGACAAACUAAAGUCCAUAUUUUCCUUUUUUUAAUAUGAAAUAGUAAAAUGAAUUUUUUUUAAUAUCAAGUCAGCAUACGUCGUAUUCAUGAAAAAGCAGUACUGAAAGUAUAAAUACUAACCUGGAAGAAAAGACAACAGUACUAUGGAAGCGUAUCUUAAAUUAUUCACUUCUAAUUUGCAUUAAUGAAAGUUUUUGAUUCAUAUAAAUAUUUAUAAAUGAAAAGAGAUAUGGUGUGUGUGUCAACGAGAGAGUACCAAAUAACACAAACACAAACAACACUGAAGACAUCUAAAAAUCAACAUACGGUGUUCAAAGAUAUACUUGUGUCUAAAUCAAGCUCGUAAUAGAUAGUUUGUAUUAAUCGACAGUCACGGGAAUGUCAAAUAACAGGACCUCGAAUGACAAUUAAAAUUUCAAUUUGGUUUUUA